AGCGGCGUAGGCCAGCCUGGUAGGCCGCAGGGCUCAUAUAUGGGUGUAAAACCCGUUGAGAAACCCUGAGGUCCCUGGUUCAAGUCCAGGCGCCGCUA
rnacentral:tRNA from 2 species